GACGAACGCUGGCGGCGUGCCUAAUACAUGCAAGUAGAACGCACAGUUUAUACCGUAGCUUGCUACACCAUAGACUGUGAGUUGCGAACGGGUGAGUAACGCGUAGGUAACCUGCCUGGUAGCGGGGGAUAACUAUUGGAAACGAUAGCUAAUACCGCAUAAUAUUAAUUAUUGCAUGAUAAUUAAUUGAAAGGUGCAAUUGCACCACUACCAGAUGGACCUGCGUUGUAUUAGCUAGUAGGUGAGGUAACGGCUCACCUAGGCGACGAUACAUAGCCGACCUGGGAGGGUGGUCGGCCACACUGGGACUGAGACACGGCCCAGACUCCUACGGGAGGCAGCAGUAGGGAAUCUUCGGCAAUGGACGAAAGUCUGACCGAGCACCGCCGCGUGAGUGAAGAAGGUUUUCGGAUCGUAAAGCUCUGUUGUAAGAGAAGAACGGGUGUGAGAGUGGAAAGUUCACACUGUGACGGUAUCUUACCAGAAAGGGACGGCUAACUACGUG
rnacentral:rRNA from 1 species